GUUGACCUCGGAUCACGUAGGAAUACCCGCUGAACUUAAGCAUAUCAAUAAGCGGAGGAACA
rnacentral:rRNA from 1 species